AUCACUAUUUAGGCGGGUUGUCCGUUGCGUUCGUUCCGCUCUCGCUCUCGCUCUCGGCCGUUCCGAAGAGACGACGCUGGCAGGGAGCAAAGAGACAGAAGCGACCGCAAGAUCCUGGGCGCCGGCCGACUAGCUCUACCGCCUCCGUGACACCUAUUUACUUCGAGACCCGAAGGAGAAGACCUCCAAGCUGAAGACCCUAGCCGACGCGGCUCUCGCCCUCGUCGAUUCACUCUAUUCGAGUAUGAUAACCCUUCUCCCAUCGCUCUACGUCGAUCUAUUCUCGUUCGUGUCGGUUUCAAUGAACAAUUGGAAAUUUCACGCUUGAAAUGGAGGUAAAUCAAUGUUUUGAGGUUGCUAUUUAACAGAUUGCCAUGAAUGUUGUACAUGAUCCACUUCUAGUCCAUACUGCCACUUUAGUAAUUAAGAUCUUAGGUGCGAUUUGCUUGAAAGAUUUCUUUAUUGAACUUUUCCUAGUAUUGAUAACGUGUGUGAAGACGCACAGGACCAGCUCUUAAUCUGCAGGUGUCAGUAACAAGAGCAAUGAGAAAUAUAUAAGCAGAUUGUCACAUUUUAAUACAUUUCAAUUUAACUUCGAACUUAAGUUUUUAGACUAGAAGUUGUUAAAUUAUUAAGUAGUAAUCUUUAGACAUAUAUGUACUUCAAGAACAUGAAGAUUAUUAGUCCACAAGUUUCUCAUUCUGGACAGCUAUCAUUGUGAGGGUAAGUCCUGAAUAAUGAUUUAUUUGGCAUGUGAAACUUAUCAUAUUUUGGUAAAUAGUAUUAUUAUGUUGAUGUAAUUCUUCUACCUGGUAUUAUGAAGGGAACGACAGGAAACCAACAUGACUACUAACUACAGUGCAUAUUUUAACACAUGGUCCUGCCUUGUAUAUCUGGAAAUAUGUUACAAUGAUUGUGGUAGUUCUAUAUGGUCAUAUGGGAAAAUAUUGUCUGUGGAAUUCUGUUUUCCUAUAUGACUUCCUCAUGAAAAAAAAAAUCUUAGGUGUUAUUUACUAAUGCGUUUUAGUGAAAGCUUUAUCAUCUAUUUGGAUCAGCAUGCCAUUUUCAUUUUGAUAAUAAUGUCUUUCAUUCCUUCAAAUCACACACACAAGAGGAAGUCACCAUUGCACAAGCCACAAAAUAUGAAUAUUUGAAGGGAAAAAUACUAGAUGUCUUUCCUGACUACAGAAAAGAAGCAGCAGCUCAUUUGUUGAAAGCUUUAUGCAAUAAUGAAGAUUUUCAUGUUGAUAUAAUGAAUUUAAAAGUCAGGCUUUGUGUAAAAUUUGUGUUGUGUGCUUCACAUUAUUUUGAAUCCAUCUCUUGCAGAUGUUUGGUUAUGCUUGGGCAAUUGCAUUGGGAAGAAAGGGGAUUUGCCAUCAGCAGAAAACUGCUCUUCUUUAGCACUAAGCAAGAUGUGCAGGCUCUAGACAUAAUUCACUAGGUCGCUGAAUUCCUAUUGUUCGUAGUACUCAAUCAAAUAGCUUGGCCUUCCAGUAUAUAUUUAUUCAAGACCAAACUCAUUUCAUGCAGAGCCCUAACAUUGUCAACUAUUAAUGCUCAAAGGAAGUAUGGCCCAAGGCAAGCAAAUCAUCCUGUCUGUGCACAUUUUACUUGCAAUUUAAUAUGCUAAUCAAUGUUGCAUAAUAUGAGCAUAUGACAAAGUUACUAAAAGGAGAUUUAUGACAGAUAAGGGAAACAUGACUUUAAUAGAUUAUGUUUUAUUGGAAAAUUAUUGGAACAUGAAGUUUUUGAAGUCGAGUUAAGAAGCCUCAAAUAUCUGAAUCUAGUUGGGUAGUUUAUUAUUUUAUUAAAUAUAUAUCCAAACAUACAAUACAAUAAGAUACUCGAUUUGUCUACUACAUUAUGUGUCACUUGUAAAUCAUGGUAUAUCUUCAGUUUCUAAAUUUCAUAUGUAAUGUGAACUUUGACUUCAAAUCUAUGUGUAUUGUAAGUUUUGACUUCUUAAUUAAAGAUCUCCAUGGUUCCAGUUUUGGGGUUAUAACAAGUCAAAUAAUGUCCAAUACACCUAUCCAAUACAAAUUGUGCUUGUCUCUAUGUUGGUGCUUUUCUCGUCUACUUCCUGAAAAUUUCUUUCGUUUAAUUCUUGAUCCUUGAUUUGAGUUCUUACCUUAUUUAGAUUGUAUCCUCAUGUUUGUGCCAUAUGACCCAAUAUCUGGUUCGUCAUAGAUCAUACUAAACUUAAAGCAAUUCUGUAAGUAUUUGUGUAGUCAAAUGCUCCCCAUUUUUGUCUAGACUAUGCAUGAUGGAAUAUUUGUUUUAUUUAUUUAGUUCUUUCCAAAAUAUUAGCUAAGGUUUGUGCUAAGAGAUCUUUACUCUAUCUAUUUGAGGAUUAAUGUCCAAUACAAUUACAUGUAGAUACAGAGAAUAAAACAGUCUUGAUUGUUGAAAGCAUCAAACAUGCUGGAUGUCGAGAUGGAAAUUCUUAGUGUAAGUUCUUUUUCACAAAAGAAGUAUGAUUGAGAUUAUAUUUGAGUGUCCACAUUAACAUUUACAAAUUGCCAUCAUGGUGCAAAAUGUUUAAUAUGGUGGGUAUGAAAAGACAUGACUAUGACAGAGACUGGUAGGAACUGAUUAGCAUUAAACAAGUUUAUAGCCAACGGUAAUACGAAACAUACAAAUUUCACUUCAUAUUUUGUUAUUCUAGUUGUGGUUUGUGUCACUGAUUUUCAUAUUUUUAUUUAUCUCUCUGUGUUUCUGCCUUUCUUUCUUUUCUUUUUUCUUCCUUUUUCAAUUGACUUCUGUUUUUGCCUUUUCACUUUUCUUCUUUUUUCCUUUGCUUCUGUGAUGGUAAGCAUUUGUUUAGUUGUCCCUCCUUCUUAGUUUUAUACUACUGCUGUUUUAAAAGUUUUAACUUACUCUCUAACUGCCGCCUCCCUUUUUUUCUUCUUAUUUCACUUCUUACACGACUGUUUUCUGCAGCUGCUUUUACACUGGAUAAUACUAUUUAGGGGUAGUAAAUCUUCUUAUUGAUUGACACUCCCUUUAUAUAAAACAUGACAACAAAUACCCGUCACUUCUCUAAGGUAUUUGCCUUGUGCCUCAUGUAUCAUGUGUCAUCCCUCGUGCAUCGCAGUUAGUCUUCAGUAGAGCUUUUAGCUCCUUAGUACUCCUUGCGCCCUUGGUAACUUUAAUGUGGCUCCUUAUAUGAUAGGCUUGCUUUAAUAGAAUAGAUCAUGCUUUAUGAUUAAGCAAGUAUGUAGAUGGUGAUUAUGUUAGCAAUCUAAGUAUACUGCAGUUAGAUGCACUUGAAAGUGACACCAGUUGAAGUUAUUGUGUAUGAAGUUGAUGGACCAGUUUAUCGUUGCUCACAUCACUUAUGGUUCUCUAGUUAAGCUUUUGACACUUCCCUUUGUUUAUUCUUGAUGUCCCUAUGCUCGGUUUUUCAAGUCGCUUCUUUCUUUGCUAAUCCAACAGGACAAAUGAAUUUGUAUGUCUUGUAUACUAAAUGAAUUAACCUAUCUGAUGAUUGAUUAUUUGCAUUUCAGUGAACUGCUGAUUUUAGAUUAAAUUUUAAGUUCUGAGUUCAGACUGGUUAUGGGAAAUAUUAGUUCAAAGUUCCUUUUGAGUUUUGACCACUAUUUUUUGCUUCAUUUACUAUUUUGAUAUUCCUAUUCUAUAGAUUUUCAACAAGUUGCAUCUCUCUGUCAUGGUUUGGUAAGUCAUAUCCAAGAUACUGGAACAGACUGAUUCAUUGAUCUCCUUCAAUAAAAUGUGGCUUGUGCAUGUAGGUUUUAGAUCCCCACUUGUAUUAUUAAAGAUUCAUCACUAUCAUAACUGAUCUUGUACCAUCUACAGCCUGUAUAGUAGGAUAACGCAGGACUUAUUCAUAUCGAGAAGGGAGCAGAUCCUUGUUGCAUUCAGCCUCAGCUUGUAUUUGUUAACAUAACAUUAAAUUGCAUGCACUUCUGGCAGCAAUUCUUAUCUGUUCUCUGAUAGUUUGUUUGAUAUGAAUCAGCACUGUCACUUCCAGUCUAUUCAAUAUUCAUGUUGAUUUUGUGGAACAAAUUCUUGUUAAUGACAAAGUCCUAGUACCUCAUCAUUUUGCGGGCCUGCAUAUGUGCACAGCAUGAAGCUUGAAGGUGAAACCCACUGCAAAAUUUUGUUUACAUAAGAGUGUCUGUUGUAGUUUGAUAUCUGUUGAUGUUUGCAGCAUGUAACUGGAAUAACCAUGAUGGAUUUUUGUUCAUCGUCUUUCUUUACCAAGGUAACAUUUUGAUGUCUAACGUUAAUGUGCUCCUUGUCUCUUGAAGUAUUAAGCAUAAAUUUUCAGUAUUUAUAUUCCUUGUGCUUUGUUUCCAGUCAUAAUAUGGACUUGUUUUAUGGAAGAUUGGUUGGGUAUAAUAUUGAUUAUCUCAACUAGUUAAAAUUUUAAAUCUUGAUAGCCUCAAAUCCUACCAAGAAAUAAAAACUUUUUGCUUAUUGUUUGUACCGUCCUAUCUUAAUUGAUCAACUUGAACCUGAGAUAGUUAUGUGAUGGUUCUUGUUUAUGUCCUCGACUUGAAGGUGGAGUUGAGCUCAAAGAACCACUUCUCGGCAUUGUACUUCCCCGUAGAUGAUUUUUCUGUGAAUCAGUAACAGUAUCAGCUUAUGGCUGUUUCUUUAAUUGCAAUUGCAACAAGUAUAAUCCUGUAGAUAAUUCCUUUUUUGUGAAGGUUUUUGUAGUAUGUAUUGACUGAACUGGUGAUUUACAUAAACAAAUAGACCUUAAUAUCAUGUUUGUUUUUCUUAGUGACCAUUGACAUUGUUCAGAUCAUUAUCUCCAGAAUAAUAUUACAGCACGAGAAGUCAACAAAGUAGAGACAUGUAAAACUCCCCUCAAGCAUCAGACUUCUCAGCCACUUCUGUUUGCUUGUUGACCCUGCUUCUGAGUUCUUCAAAAGCACGCAUGCUUUCUGCAUCAAAUCCUCCAGCAAACUGCAAGUUCACACAAAAUGAGUCAUGACAUGAAAGAAACAGGUGUGUUUUACCUUGUGAAUUAUCAGCUCUUCUAGUUGACGUUUUUAUCAUGAGACAAGCAUGAGAACUUUACCUGAUGGACCCGGAAUGCAAAUCUUACACCUUGCAGAACCAAAAACUCUCUGUUUGGCUCUUUGUCGCUGCCACUGAGAGCAUCAAGUUCUGAAGAAACCCUCUUCAUGUACUUCCUUGCUAGCUGAACUGUUGACAGUUUGAUCUGCCAAAACAUCCGUAUGUCUUUGAGCUUAUUCUUAUUUCCAGCUCUUCAAGAUCAUAAUUGAAGCACAAAGUAUGUUGUUAGAUUAAUCUUUAUAUGGUUCACUACCUUGCCCACCACACCAGAGUCCAGCAGCCAAUCAGUUGGAAUCCCGAACUCCCUGUAACGAGCAAUUGCCAUGUCUCGAGUUCGCAGCAGUGCAUACACACUUUGCUCCAUUCUGC
rnacentral:lncRNA from 1 species